GAAGGGAGUCUUACGAUCCAAUCCUGAGAAAUACCACACGGAGAAUCCAGAGUGUAGGCGACAGUACAGUGAUAAUUUUCUCAAGGUCGGGGGUACUCUAGGGGAUUCUACAGAAUCUUCUGUUCAGCAUAGAAGAAGAUGGAGAAGGAAGAAAACAUAGCUUGCAGUACAGUACAGUACUCGGCAGUACAUAAUAUCACUUUGAUUUGCUGUACAAUAUAAUACAGUUUGGUACUGUUAGUAUACUUAUAAAACUUACUACAGCAUAAAGUACUUUGUAUUACGGCUUACUACAGCAUAGUACUUAGUAGUACAGCUAUACUACAGCAUAAAGUACUUUGUAGUACAGCUUACUACAGCAUAAAGUACUUUGUAGUACAGUAGUAGAAUUAUACUUUACGCACAGGGCACUUUAAAACACUUCGCGGUACAGUGCAGUACAGUGCAGUAUUUUGCAGUACA